rnacentral:rRNA from 1 species
UGAGGAAUCUUCCACAAUGGGCGAAAGCCUGAUGGAGCAACGCCGCGUGCAGGAUGAAGGCCUUCGGGUUGUAAACUGCUUUUAUUUGUGAAGAAUAUGACGGUAACAAAUGAAUAAGGGUCGGCUAACUACGUGCCAGCAGCCGCGGUCAUACGUAGGACCCAAGCGUUAUCCGGAGUGACUGGGCGUAAAGAGUUGCGUAGGUGGUUUGUAAAGCGAAUAGUGAAAUCUGGCGGCUCAACCGUACAGGCUAUUAUUCGAACUCACAAACUCGAGAAUGGUAGAGGUUACUGGAAUUUCUAGUGUAGGAGUGAAAUCCGUAGAUAUUAGAAGGAACACCAAUGGCGUAGGCAGGUAACUGGACCAUUUCUGACACUAAGGCGCGAAAGCGUGGGGAGCGAACC